rnacentral:rRNA from 1 species
AGAGAGAGACAUGCGCGCAUAUCAAUAAGCGGAGGAAAAGAAACUAACAAGGAUUCCCUUAGUAACGGCGAGUGAAGCGGGAAGAGCUCAAAUUUGAAAUCUUCAAGGUUUUACCUUGACGAAUUGUAGUUUAAAGAAGUGUUUUCUGCUGAAGUUUUGGUAAAAGUUCUUUGGAAUAGGACAUCAUAGAGGGUGAGAAUCCCGUAUUUGACCAUUAUUUUCAGCUUUGUGAUACACUUUCAAAGAGUCGGAUUGUUUGGGAAUGCAGUCCAAAAUGGGUGGUAAAUUUCAUCUAAAGCUAAAUAUUGGCGAGAGACCGAUAGCGAACAAGUACCGUGAGGGAAAGAUAAAAGAACUUUGAAAAGAGAGUUAAACAGUACGUGAAAUUGUCAAAAGGGAAGCGUUUGACACCAGUGUUGUUUUCUCGAAAAUCAAUUAAAAAUGGCUCGAUUUUGUAUUGCUGAGACCUUAAAAGCUCACUGUACAUUUUUCGUGUCUUUUUUAAUGCACUUUUCGUUUAACAAGUCAACAUCAGUUUCUUUUGUUGUAAAAGGGUCAUUGGAAGGUGGCUUUCUUUUCGGAGAAAGUGUUUAUAGCCUUUGGCCUCUGCAAUCGGAAGAGACUGAGGUCUGCAGCGUAGACUCUUCGGGGUUAGAUACAUUUGUGCUAAGUUAUAGCUUUUUAUAGACAACUUGUUGACUAUAAUUAGUCUUGUAGCUUACUCGCUUAUGCUAUUUUACCUACGCUUAGGAUGUUGAAGAUGUAGCACAUCAU